rnacentral:rRNA from 1 species
CAGUAGCCGCGGGAAUACGUAGGGCGCAAGCGUUAUCCGGAAUUAUUGGGCGUAAUGAGCUCGUAGGCGGUUUGUCGCGUCUGCCGUGAAAGUCCGGGGCUCAACCCCGGAUCUGCGGUGGGUACGGGCAGACUAGAGUGAUGUAGGGGAGACUGGAAUUCCUGGUGUAGCGGUGAAAUGCGCAGAUAUCAGGAGGAACACCGAUGGCGAAGGCAGGUCUCUGGGCAUUAACUGACGCUGAGGAGCGAAAGCAUGGGGAGCGAACAGGAUUAGAUACCCCCGUAGUCCCUGUCUCUUAUAC